CUUGAUCACUAAAGUUAAGCAACAUUGAGCCUGGUUAGUACCUAGAUGGGUUACCACUUGGGAAUAUCAGGUGUUGUAAG